AUUAUUUUAUGUUUAUCUUAGCGAGUUUCUGGAAUUUUCCACCGCAUAUCCUAUCAAAUGCCCUUUCUAUUCUCUUUUGCCAUCCCACUGUUCUUUCCGAUCACGUAUUUAUUUUCUAUCGAUUGAAGGUCUGAUUAAACGUAGGAGAAGAAGAUUGAGGGUAUUUGGUUGGAAUGUAGCGAAUAAGAAACCCAAAAUUAAUAUUUCAAAAAUAAAACCGAGAAAUGAUUCCUCGGAUUCCGCUCCAGGUUUUUUCUUCUUCCAACAUUUUCCCCACAUGUCGACCGUUCAUGGCUACAAUCGCCACCAAACCCAGGCCCUUCCGCUCCAUUUUAGCUCCACCUCAGCUUACUGCCAUAGAAGAAACCACCAUCGACUUCUCCUUCUCAAGUAUUAAAUCAAUUUCCUAAUACCUCAAAUCGAUUUCAUUCUUAGUUCUCAUCAAGGUAUCGCCGAUCAAUUGGACGCUCUGUAUAACCAACUGCUUCGCUCCUGCAUUAAAUUAGGAAGUUGAAAGUAAUUGAAACACCAUUUGUUUUUAUAUUUUUGUUCUGGAUCAGUAGUCUAAAAAAACCUAAUUUUGCUGAAUGUAUUGUUAAUUGUUUGAAGUGGAUGAAGAACAAAGGCUCUAUCCUGUGAAGAUUUGGGAUUUUUCAAAUCAAAUAACCAAGUUUUUAAUACAAAGCAUAAUUCUAUCUGAUAUAUCUGAUCUGAACUAAUGAAUACAAAGAUUUUCUUGGAGUUAUAUGGGCUAGGGUAGGGUAGAGAAUUACAAACAAAGCAUAUAGAAGGUGAUUGAAAGGAGCAAAAAUCCAAAAGCAAAAGUAGGUCGAAUCGGUCGGUAACUUUUCUUUGUAGCACAUUACUGCAUUUUUCCUUAUUUUGGUUACACUAUUGCCAAUAAUUAGUAUUUUAAUUAUGUACCGGAGCAAUGGGAUAUUAUGGACGAUGUUGGGAGAUGAAAUCCACAACACAUGUUGCUAACAAGACGAGGACAACAAUAUGUAAUAACUAUAAGUAUGUUGCAAUUAUGGGUAAAGAACUUUAGUAUUUUUCUAUUAUGAGUAAAGAAUUCCAACAGAGAUGUAUUUCAUUUGUUAUUUAUGGCUAUUAUCUAUAAAGAAUUGUAAGUACACUGCUAUUAUAUGUAAAUAUGCAACUAUUAUGUGUAAAAUGUAAUGGUUGUGUCUAAGUAUAAUUUUUAUGAAUAA